GAUGAACGCUGGCGGCGUGCUUAACACAUGCAAGUCGAACGGAAAGGCUCCUGCUUGCAGGGGUACUCGAGUGGCGAACGGGUGAGUAACACGUGGGUGAUCUGCCCUGCACUUCGGGAUAAGCCUGGGAAACUGGGUCUAAUACCGGAUAGGACGAUGGUUUGGAUGCCAUUGUGGAAAGUUUUUCGGUGUGGGAUGAGCUCGCGGCCCAUCAGCUUGUUGGUGGGGUAAUGGCCUACCAAGGCGUCGACGGGUAGCCGGCCUGAGAGGGUGUACGGCCACAUUGGGACUGAGAUACGGCCCAGACUCCUACGGGAGGCAGCAGUGGGGAAUAUUGCACAAUGGGCGCAAGCCUGAUGCAGCGACGCCGCGUGGGGGAUGACGGCCGUCGGGUUGUAAACUCCUUUCGCUAGGGACGAAGCGCAAGUGACGGUACCUGGAGAAGAAGCACCGGCUAACUACGUG
rnacentral:rRNA from 1 species